rnacentral:pre_miRNA from 1 species
GGGUCGAGAUUCUUGCAAAAAGUUGUACAUCGACUCUUAUUGCACUUUUCCCGGCCUGU